GUUAGGGUUAGGGUUAGGAGUAGGUUCAGGUUUAGGGUGCCAAUUCAUGUACCUGACGUUUGGAGUGUGGGGAAGAUUGUUAGGAUUGUGGUCCUUCUUUUUGGAAGGGUCAUGGAUAGUGCAGAAAUAGUGGUACUUGAGGAUGACUUAUUGUUCUGGUAGGGUUAGGGCUAGGGUUAGGGUUAGGGUCAGGGUGAUAGAUAGCAUUGAAAUUGAAAUGCCUGUGUCUUCCAGUGUGGGUUGGAAAGUUAGUAUUAGCGUAAGCUCGGGGGGACGGGGAGGGAUAAGGUCACUUGUCAACCACCUGGGAAUGGGGAUUUGGUCCUGCGCCUUAGUUUUAGGGUUAGGGUUAGGAGUAGGUUCAGGUUUAGGGUUCCAAUUCAUGUACCUGACGUUUGGAGUGUGGGUGUGAUUGUUCGGAUUAGGGUUCUUCUUUUGGUAAGGGUCAUGGAUAGUGCAGAAAUAGCGGUACUUGAGGAUGACUUAUUGUUCUGGUAGGGUUAGGGCUAGGGUUAGGGUUAGGGUCAGGGUGAUAGAUAGCAUUGAAAUUGAAAUGCCUGUGUCUUCCAGUGUGGGUUGGAAAGUUAGUAUUAGCGCAAGUUCGUGGGGACGGGGAGGGAUAAGGUCACAUGUGAAGCACCUGUGUACUGCGAUUUGGUCCUGCGCCUUAGGGUUAGGGUUAGGGUUAGGAGUAGGUUCAGGUUUAGGGUUCCAAUUCAUGUACCUGACGUUUGGAGUGUGGGCAUGAUUGUUAGGAUUGGGGUCCUUCUUUUUGGAAGGGUCAUGGAUAGUGCAGAAAGAGUGGUACUUGACGAUGACUUAUUGUUCUGGUAGGGUUAGGGCUAGGGUUAGGGUUAGGGUCAGGGUGAUAGAUAGCAUUGAAAUUGAAAUGC
rnacentral:lncRNA from 1 species